UCCCGAUUAUUUCUCCCAGAUGAACAGGA
rnacentral:piRNA from 1 species